UUCUCUACUAGCUAAAAUAUGGUCAUCUAGGCUCCUAUUUCCACCCAUUCCAUCCCUGUACAAAGAAACCAAUUAACAAAGAAGUGAAACAACAGUAGGUAAAUAACAUAAUGAGUGAAAUUAAAGAGGCAGAUCAUAGAGAGGCUCCAAAUGGAAACACUGUUCUCCAUCUCCUUCCUCACAUGUAAUCCAUUGCAAGGUUGCCAUUGUUCGGAAUAAACUCCGGUGAGUUGCUCAUCAUUGUAGCAUUUCUAGCCAUAGCAAGAUUGUCACCGGCCUUGCUUCUCAUUUCCAGGAC
rnacentral:misc_RNA from 1 species